rnacentral:misc_RNA from 1 species
GAAAUGCGAUAAGUAAUGUGAAUUGCAGAAUUCAGUGAAUCAUCGAAUCUUUGAACGCACAUUGCGCCCCCUGGUAUUCCGGGGGGCAUGCCUGUUCGAGCGUCAUUACAACCAAUCCAGCCCCGCUGGGUAUUGGGCGUCGCGGCCUGCCGCGCGCCUCAAAGUCUUCGGCGGAAGCCGCCCGUUCCUCUGCGUGAUGACACAUCGUCGCUUGGGACACGGGGGUGAGCGCCCGGAAAACAUCGGCGGAGACGUCGAUUUCAAGGUUGACCUCGGAUCAGGUAGGGAUACCCGCUGAACUUAA